rnacentral:rRNA from 1 species
AUUGAACGCUGGCGGCAUGCUUUACACAUGCAAGUCGAACGGCAGCGCGGGCUUCGGCCUGGCGGCGAGUGGCGAACGGGUGAGUAAUGCAUCGGAACGUGCCCAGUAGUGGGGGAUAGCCCGGCGAAAGGCGGAUUAAUACCGCAUACGACCUGAGGGUGAAAGCGGGGGACCGAAAGGCCUCGCGCUAUUGGAGCGGCCGAUGUCGGGUUAGCUAGUUGGUGGGGUAAAGGCUUACCAAGGCGACGAUCCGUAGCUGGUCUGAGAGGACGACCAGCCACACUGGGACUGAGACACGGCCCAGACUCCUACGGGAGGCAGCAGUGGGGAAUUUUGGACAAUGGGGGCAACCCUGAUCCAGCCAUGCCGCGUGAGGGAAGAAGGCCUUCGGGUUGUAAACCGCUUUUGUUCGGGAAGAAAUCCUCUGGGCUAAUACCCCGGGGGGAUGACGGUACCGGAAGAAUAAGCACCGGCUAACUACGUG